rnacentral:rRNA from 1 species
AUUGAACGCUGGCGGCAGGCCUAACACAUGCAAGUCGAACGGUAACAGGGAUCAGCUUGCUGAUUCGCUGACGAGUGGCGGACGGGUGAGUAAUGUCUGGGAAACUGCCUGAUGGAGGGGGAUAACUACUGGAAACGGUAGCUAAUACCGCAUAACGUCGCAAGACCAAAGAGGGGGACCUUCGGGCCUCUUGCCAUCGGCUGUGCCCAGAUGGGAUUAGCUAGUAGGUGGGGUAACGGCUCACCUAGGCGACGAUCCCUAGCUGGUCUGAGAGGAUGACCAGCCACACUGGAACUGAGACACGGUCCAGACUCCUACGGGAGGCAGCAGUGGGGAAUAUUGCACAAUGGGCGCAAGCCUGAUGCAGCCAUGCCGCGUGUAUGAAGAAGGCCUUCGGGUUGUAAAGUACUUUCAGCGGGGAGGAAGGGAGUAAAGUUAAUACCUUGGCUCAUUGACGUUACCCGCAGAAGAAGCACCGGCUAACUCCGUG